GACGAACGCUGGCGGCGUGCUUAACACAUGCAAGUCGAGCGAAGCACUUGGAACCGAUCCUUCGGGUGAAGUUCCAUUUGACUGAGCGGCGGACGGGUGAGUAACGCGUGGGUAGCCUGCCUCAUACAGGGGAAUAACAGUUUGAAAAGACUGCUAAUGCCGCAUAAGCGCACAGGGCCGCAUGGCCCGGUGUGAAAAACUCCGGUGGUAUGAGAUGGACCCGCGUCUGAUUAGCUAGUUGGUGAGGUAACGGCCCACCAAGGCGACGAUCAGUAGCCGACCUGAGAGGGUGACCGGCCACAUUGGGACUGAGACACGGCCCAAACUCCUACGGGAGGCAGCAGUGGGGAAUAUUGCACAAUGGGGGAAACCCUGAUGCAGCGACGCCGCGUGGAUGAAGAAGUAUUUCGGUAUGUAAAGUCCUAUCAGCAGGGAAGAAAAUGACAGUACCUGACUAAGAAGCCCCGGCUAACUACGUGCCAGCCGCCGCCGUAA
rnacentral:rRNA from 1 species